AUGAUUUUUUUUUUUUUUCAGAACAUUUUCCAUCCUUUUGUCUUCAUCAAUGUGUAGUAUGAGCACCAUUGCUGGUGAAUAUGAUACAUCCCAAUGCCAUUGCUUAUCUCAAGCUCGUAUGUAACGAGGAAGCUGCAUUUCUCUUGUUAAUUCCAUGUUGUAAUUUAUCUGGAAUGUUACACUUUCCAUUGAUAUCAAAUGCAUAUUUUCGUGGGAACUCCUACUGGAUCAAAAGGAGCACACUUGUGUAUGAGGAUUUACAAAUGUUUGUAAAUUUUUC
rnacentral:misc_RNA from 1 species